UACCAAAAAUGGGAAUGGCUCGAGAAAUUGGUGUACAAAAGGUUACAAGAAGAAUUAGCAAAACUAGAAGUAAGCGUGAAUGAAGAAAAGACAAAAGUAAUCAACCUAAAGAAGGGAGGAACGUUCAACUUUCUAGGAUUCGACUUCCGAGAGAAAAUCACAAGACAAGGAAAGUGGAGUGUAUAAAUAACACCAACGAUGAAAGCACGGACAAAUUUGCUUCAGAGACUGAAGGAGGUAUUUCGUGGACAAAAAUCGCAACCGAUAGGGAAGGUGAUAAAAAUCAUCAAUCCAAUAUUGAGAGGGUGGACAAACUACUUUAGAAUUGGGAACUCAAGUCGAAGCUUCAACUACGUUAAACAAUGGGUAGAAAAGAAAACAAGACGCAACUUAAUGAGAUCCAGGAAAAUGCGAAAAGGAUUUGGCUGGAAGAGGUGGAGUAAGGAAUGGAUAGAUAAACUUGGUCUGUAUUCAGACUAUAGAAUACGAUACUAUGAACCGAAAGCACAACCAGUACAAUAUGUUAUAAACUUUGGUAAGAAUCUGCUAGGAAAGCGUAGUGCGGAUGCUGCGUUUGACGAGGCGGGAGCUGGAAACGUAAAUAUGGGAAUUUUGGAUUGAGGUCCUCAACGAAAGCGAUGGAAUAACCACCAAACCCUAAAGGAGGCGCGCCAGCUCUCGACCCUAC
rnacentral:autocatalytically_spliced_intron from 1 species